rnacentral:rRNA from 1 species
CCUACGGGAGGCAGCAGUGGGGAAUAUUGGUCAAUGGGCGCGAGCCUGAACCAGCCACGUAGCGUGAAGGAUGACUGCCCUACGGGUUGUAAACUCCUUUUAUAAAGGCAUAAAGUGAGGCACGUGUGCCUUUUUGUAUGUACGUUAUGAAUAAGGAUCGGCUAACUCCGUGCCAGCAGCCGCGGUAAUACGGAGGAUCCGAGCGUUAUCCGGAUUUAUUGGGUUUAAAGGGAGCGUAGAGGGGUUGUUAAGUCAGUUGUGAAAGUUUGGGGCUCAACCGGAAAAUUGCAUUUGAUACUGGGAGUCUUGAGUACAGUUGAGGUAGGCGGAAUUCGUGGUGUAGCGGUGAAAUGCUUAGAUAUAACGAAGAACUCCGAUGGCGAAGGCAGCUUACUAGACUGCCACUGACAUUGAGGCUCGAAAGUGUGGGUAUCAAACAGGAUUAGAUACCCGAGUAGUC